UAUAAGGACACUAAAACAUAAAAAGUAUCUACAUAUGAAAAUAUAAUUUAAUACAACCCAAAUAUUAAAAAAAAAUAGGAACGAUACUAUAAACUUAGAUGACAUCAAUAUAAUUUCCUAAACCUAAAUUCCCAAAUCACAAACCAAAUAUCAUGAAUGAUAAAUUAUAACUCAUAACUCAUACAACAUAAAUUAUUUAUCAUAAAUCAUAAAUCACAAUUCUCAUUUAUUCAUCAUACAGGGACCUCACCUCAAUGCCAAAAAAAAUUUAAAAUGAAGACAAAAGUGUCGAUUAACCUCAAGAAUCAAGAUCGGCAGUAAUUUUCCCGUUAACAUAAUCUGUAUGAAAAUUAAACUCAAUCUUAAAGACUUAAACUAUCAUCAAUUUCUAAUUUCUAAUUUCCAACACAAAUUGAACAUUUCUCACAAAUCAUAAAAUUCCCAAUUCACAUAUUUACAAAAUUUACAAAGUCCCCAAUUUUCAUAAAUCAUAAUCAUCACAUUUAACAUUACAAUCAAAUUAAAUCAUCAAAAUCAAAAAGAAAAAAAUAUAAUAAAAGCCAGAAUAGCUCACCAAGGCAAGAAGUCGCACUCGCAGCCAUCCGCGUCCACUCAACUCGCACGAUCGCACCACUCCAUCGUCCAUCUCCUCGUCGCUCACGGCUCAAUGAUCACCAACACCGAAUCACCAUCCACUCAACUCGCACCACUCUACCCCGCACCAGUCCACUGUCUUCGGCUCAUCGCAAUCGCCCUUCGCCUUCAGUAGUUCUAUUUAGCUUGGUUAAUUGGUUUCAAUUUUGGAGUUUGGACUCUUCAAAUUGGUGAAUGCAAUGGACAUAUAUCCACUCCAGCCGUCCAUUAAUUUCAAGGUAUUGGGCCAUUGGAUUUGGGCCUAAUUUUGUUUAAAAAGAGGCCCAAAAUGGGGGAAAAUGUAGGCCCAAUUUCCCAGUAUCUUCUUCAUCUUUGCGUUGCAGCUCUGCAUUCCGAG
rnacentral:lncRNA from 1 species